rnacentral:lncRNA from 1 species
GUUUCCUUUGAACGCGUGCUAUCAUGAAACUGUACGUACCUUAGUAUCUGUACUCUACGUUUGAGACAAAUUAAUAUCAGAGAAAUAAAUCAUCUUUUUUUUUAUUUUUUUGUUACAAUAAUAAAUUCUUUGAACAAAAACACAGAACUACAAUUACGCGUAAUAAUUUCUGAUUCUGUAUUCAAAUAUGCACUUGUUAUCAAUACGCAUUUGGUUAAUAUGAAAUCACAUUUCAUGAUAAUGUAUUCAAUAUCAUCUACUUGAAUGAAUAUUUAGAAAUAUGAUGUUUACUGUUAUAUCAUUCUUACCUUCUCGUCGUUAACCUCGUUUACUCAAACCACACAACAAACCAUAAAAAUACAAUGAUUGGGCAUAUGUAUUAACUCUUUACAAUUACAGUAUCUGAAACCUUGUAUUUGUAUUAAUUGGGUAGAAUUUCUGAAGAUUAUCAAUAUAGAAUGAACCCACUGAAUGUAUCAAUAUUUCUUUAUAUUGCUUCGCCUGAACGAUUUUCCAUUUGCCUUCUUAAACCAACAUGCAUGCAUUUACAGAAAAAGCGAAGUGGAAAUACACUAAUAAAAUAGCCAUAAAACAUGAAUCGACUGUGACGGUGAUUUCUGUAUAUAUUUAUUUAUUUGACAAUCCUAUUCUUAAACAUGUAUUUCAUGCUAAUCAAGGAUCCCAUGAUCAGAAUUGAUUCAUCUAUAUAAGGGUGGUCAUUGCUUUAUUAUAGGUUGUUUCUGUUGUGUCGUUGUUCUCCUCUUAUAUUUGAUGUGUUUUUCUCAGUUUCAGUCUGUAACCCGGAUUUGUUCCCAAUCGAUUUAUGAAUUUCGAACAGCGGUAUACUAAUGCUCACCUUAGGUGGCGAUGGAUGGAAACAAAAAAGUUCAUAAAUUUAUAUAAUAUACGUUUUGUAGUCUACUUAAUUGUUGAUCAAUACAAUUUUGAUUACUAUGGAAUUUCAUUAUGUGAAUUAAGUUUUCAUACUAUAGCACACAAUUUUGACUUUGCAGUUUCCAGCUUUUUGUAAUGAUUCACCAUUACGUCACUAACAUGCUAACGAAUAUAAAACACAAUCAACUAAAAAUUCUAAAUUGCAUCACAUACUUUUAAAUGUUCGUGUACACUCAUUUGCAUGUCAUUGGUAACAAAGACUGUCUAAAUCAACAUUAUUUUUAUUCCAAAGACCAUAGCUUCGAUUUAUUUUCAUGUCUAAAUCUAUGUCUGAUAUGACUAUUUAUAUGAUAAUACUUAUGGAUGUCAACGAGUGCUCAAGUAUCGCUCAGUAGUACCGAGUAUCGAAUACCAAAAUGAUACUCUACUAAUCGAUGUUCUGUUGAAAUAUUGUUGCUUUCAUAAGCACCUUCCUGGAAAAUAAAUAUUAAUCAACAUUAAAAUCCUUUUCGAAUGUUUGCGUUUAUUUGUCAUGUUUUUUAUACCGUCAGAGCAAAUGUUGUCAUCAGCAGGACUGUUAAUUACGUAACAGAGUUGAGAAAUCACCUAUCCCCUG